GUGGGGAAUAUUGCACAAUGGGGGAAACCCUGAUGCAGCGACGCCGCGUGAAGGAAGAAGUAUCUCGGUAUGUAAACUUCUAUCAGCAGGGAAGAUAGUGACGGUACCUGACUAAGAAGCCCCGGCUAACUACGUGCCAGCAGCCGCGGUAAUACGUAGGGGGCAAGCGUUAUCCGGAUUUACUGGGUGUAAAGGGAGCGUAGACGGUGUGGCAAGUCUGAUGUGAAAGGCAUGGGCUCAACCUGUGGACUGCAUUGGAAACUGUCAUACUUGAGUGCCGGAGGGGUAAGCGGAAUUCCUAGUGUAGCGGUGAAAUGCGUAGAUAUUAGGAGGAACACCAGUGGCGAAGGCGGCUUACUGGACGGUAACUGACGUUGAGGCUCGAAAGCGUGGGGAGCAAACAGGAUUAGAUACCCCUGUAGUCC
rnacentral:rRNA from 1 species